CAUCGGGACAAGAAGCUGCAUUUCAUCGUCAUGCCUUUAGGCCCGGGCGGCCCCUGAUUGGGGUUUGAAUUUCACAUCAGGGUUGACCUUGAGGGACUGUUCCACCCCGAUAUAUCCUCAUCUGGUCGACCCAUUCAAAGAGAGCUUGCCAGGAAGCUAACGAGGCUAUAUUGUUGCCAUCUUCAUGACCGUCUGCACCCAAAAAUGUGCAACCAAGAUGGGGUUUCUCUAGUGGAUAUGGCUAUACGAAAAUCUCUUCAUGGGCUUGAUGGCACGAGGAAGAAAUAUCAAAGUUGGAAGCAAUUGGGAAAACGGAUGCGCCUAUUGGUUCAAGAUUUUGGUGGAAAAGUAUAAUGACAAUCACAAUAUUUUGGGGUGCAUAGAUUAAAGGUGCCGGUGAUUUUGACUCUGGCGUGGACAAUCUAUUCUAUUAGAGCAACUGGACAAUCUAUUCUUUGUUGGACUCACACUUACGCAUCGAUGUUGAUAAAGGUCACUGGUAUGGUUGCACAAAAAAUGGAGGUGCUGAGCAGGAGCACCCUGACAAUGCUAAUGCCUACGCCGGCGGUCACUUGAACGUAUAUCUCCCAGACUGCCACAUAGAACAUGUAGACUGGAGUGACUCUGAUGACAAUGUGGUUGCUGAGGAGGCUAGGCUAAGGCUCCGUCGGGUUAGCCCCACCUGGCCGGAAAC